GACGAACCGUGCGAACGUUGUUCGGAUUCACUGGGCUUAAAGGGCGCGUAGGCGGGCAGCCAAGUCAGGGGUGAAAGCCCCCGGCCCAACCGGGGAAGUGCCUCUGAGACUGGCUGUCUCGAGUGGGGUAGGGGCAGUUGGAACUCUCGGUGGAGCGGUGAAAUGCGUAGAUAUCAUUUGGAACGCCAAUGGUGAAAACAGGUAGCUGGGAGUGUGCUGACGCUGAGACACGAAAGCCAGGGGAGCAAACGGG
rnacentral:rRNA from 1 species